AGCGACACAAGCGCUGCCCACAGAGCGCGUUUGGGAACGCGGGAUUGUUCUCUUCAGUAACACACAGUGAUGAAGCGGAUAGAAAUGAAGGAGAGCGCUUCUGGUUCUGAGAGGGAGGCAGAAGUGGUCACAAAGCCGGGGAAAACAAAAAAAAAACAGAGCAGAACAAAACAAAACCAGCACGAACAAUCGAACAGAAAUCAGGGAAAGGAGGGGCGUUUCUUGUAUUUUGGGGGCUCAGCCUGCAACCAAAACUCUCCUCCCAAAAUGCCUCUAAAAAUCUUCCCGUUGCGGUGAAGAAAGGACAGAGGAGGCAGGCAGAACCAACUCUUCAGCAGAGAACCACGCACGGAUGAGAGGCUGGGAGAACACAGGAGCCUUUGAGAAGUCUGCCCUUCGGGACUCCUUUCCUCCACCUCCUCUCUCCUCUGAGCUUUCCCAUUAUAAACGACUGGACACCUGCUUGUUCUCCUCCUUGGAGACAUUUCAGACAGUGCUGUGGGAGGCUCUGAAUUUCCAAAGUGGCCAUAAAGCAGAUGCUUGAGGACAGGACAAGGACGGAUCCCCAGCACAUUCUCACAGUCUGCAGGAGCUCCAGCACUUCUUUGGCCAGAGAAAAACUCACGCAUUUUGGUUAACGCCAUCCAGAUUAUUGUUCUGGGAUGCAGAAUGCAGCAGGCCUUGGGAUACCCACCUGCAGCUGCCACCUCCACAACACUUCAUCUGUGUACUGUGCUUGUGAACAUGGAGGGCCAGAAGAAUGAUAACAUGUGCUGCUGUCCUGUUCUCCCCCUGAAACUCCUCUGAUUUUCCUGUGUGUGUUCAACAUGAUAUAUACUUCUCUCUUUUUCAAGAUGAUGACCUAUUUUUCUACCAUCACUGCAGAAUACAUUAUCAUAAACCAUAUUUUUCACGUUUAUUGCGCUGGACUGUAGAAUCAUUAUUUAUAAGAAUUAUAAGGUUGUCUACGUGUUUUAUUUUCAGCAUUAAACUUGGCUGAAGUUAGAGUGAACUAUUUUCCAUUCUUAACUUAUUUUGUAGGUCAGAAGAGCAGCGUGUGGGUGUCAAAAUACGAGCAGUCUCACAGUCGUCAGAAUUAUAGCAGUUCCCAAACUAUUUCCAACAAUAGGCUUUGAAAUAAGAGAGAAUACCACUUCUCAUAUACUGACUUCCCAUCCAAAACAAAUGUAAGAUUAAAAUAGUAUCUGCUUGCAGGAGGAAAUCACUUGAGGCCAGGACUUUAAGUUGGAAAAGACCUGAAAAAUACUGCAAAAGAACCCUGUGCUUUAGAAAAAGCAUUUUGAGAAUACGCUUUGAAAAAAGCGUGGCAUUUAAACUGUGCAUCUUCAUAUUCCUGAAGCAUCCUAACAACCUUACACAAAGCCAAGCUCUCUUUCUCUCCUUCAGAUCUAUUUGCCUGUCUUUUGGAUUCAUGUUCUUCUCUUGCAGGUAAAAAUGCUCUCCCAUGGACUGACCUCUAGGCUAGAGAAAACUUGUUUGGAAUUUGUCUUUGUUUCCUGACAACUCAUACCCACAAAAAGCCUAACGGAUGAAUCCUGCCCUCUUUUUGGGAGGUAGCUGGGAAGGAAAUAUCCUACUCAUUUUGAGUAGAUUUUUAAAAAGGUAAUCUCUACAAGUACAGAUCUUACAGUGCUAAAGGAAUAAGAGCUCUCCAUCAGGGAUGUGAAAGAGGACAGCGAUCCAAGUAGCCUUGCUCUUUGCAAAACUGAUCUGACACUUUCAGUUAAGACAAGCCUCUGAAGACCAGUUUUUCACAGUUAAUCCUCAGCUGCAAAGCUUGAGACACCAGAGCCUGACUGGAGUAGCUCUAAGACCUGAAGCUGCCAACCUAAUGGAGAUGAGCCUUGCCCUGAGCACAGGAGAGCUGUAUUGCUGAGGGCCCUGAAGUGUCACCUCCUCGGCCUCUGAAACCAAGCACUCCAAUUAAUGCUUCUGCCUGUCAGUCCCCUAACAACAAAACCUGGCUACCCAGCUCUUUUUCUUGCUACCUCAAAAAUGUUCUGGAAUGGUAACUCACAAAAUCGUUGAGAUUAACCACAAUGAACAAAUUCACAAUGAAACUGAUAAUUCAGGCCUAAUUAAUAACUAGAAGAUUGGUGCUCACUAAAUAGUUCACCCUGAAGGCAGUGGAGAGCCAUUAUCUUAUCCACUUACCUGUAGCUGCCCCCGCAGGUACCAGUAAGCACGUGUAUGCGCAUACAGGCAUAUCCAUGUGGGUUUGCGUGGAGAGGGAACAGGAAUAAGCACUCGCUUUUUUUCUUCUAAAAGCUGUACCUGUGAGUGAAUGAAGGAAGGAAAUAUUUCACGUGAAUUGCCUGGAGAUGAAAUGGGGCUAAGUUCCAAACACAUGCUCCACGAUUGCUGUCGGGUUCUUUUGUUCCUGAUCAGCUCGGUGUUAAGAACAGGUGGGAAAGGCAGUGCGUUACCAUCAGGCAUGGACAGCUCCCACACUGAUUUCACUGAUUAUCCCAUGACUCCACUUUCUGUACAUUACGUAGAAAUCCAAGGCUGCGGAGGAGUCCCAAACUUUCUCUGUUUUGCUAACUAUGCUUCUGUUACCUGUUGAUGUUGUUACAGAGAGGACAAGGAGGUUUUACACUUAAAUAAGAGUUUCCAAACACGGUUUAAGUAAACCAAAUUGUCUUUCAGGUGCAUCUUGUUCAUUACAGCAGGCUUAUUGUGUUUUCGUCCUUCAGAAACUCCUGUUCAUAGCUGUGUUCCCCUGUAGAAGUAUUACUUCUAAUCAUUCUCGUGUGUCAUUUGCUGACAGUGUAUUUCUUUUUGAGGGCAGACUUCUUUACCUUCAGCUAACAUCAGAAGAGUAGUAACAUAUUUGAAACUCCCAAACGUGUUGUAUUUUAGAAACAUUUCAGAUUUUUCUCUAUUGUGCAAGUGCUUGAGUAAAUGCAAUGUGUCUAUGCUAGGAAGAGUUCGUAUACUCCAAAACACAAUCUGACAUUUACUCUCAUUUAUUUUGAAAUGCAAAUGCAUUUAGUUUAUUCAGAAUUCUGUUGCAGCUUACUGUCUUAUUAGUGAUCAUGCUGAUAACUUGAAUUUCUGAAAUGCUGUUGCUAAGCAAUGCAACUUCAGGCAUGUAAUGAGCCUUUCCAGUGGCUACUUGAAGAUGAAGAAAAUUAUCUCAGCUUCACAGGUUGUUUGAUCAUCAACCGCAUUAUAAUGGUUGGGUGAUAAAUAAGUUUUCAGCUUGCCCUUAUUCUCCUGCAGAUAAUUUAUUUUUGUAUGGUAAAUGAAGAUCAUACAGGAUCAGGAAGAAAGACGUAUAUUUUGGGAUGCAAAGGCAGAAUCAAAGAACUUGUGUAGCUCCUUUGCAUAACUUUCUAUAAAAAGAAGACUUCUUUCAGCUCAUUACUUCAGGAAGGUGUACAGAAGGACUGGGACCCCAAGGACAACCCAGUGAAACCCUGCCCAAUACAAAGAGACACAGCUGCUCUAUCCUUGGUACAGAUCUCCUGCUGGUUGGACCUGACUGAAGACAGGAGCAUGACAGCAGUGGUCAGUGGGUUAGACUGGAUGAUGGGACAAGUCCUCCCACAUGGGCUCUGUUCUCGGGAAGCAAAAGCUGUGCACCACAUUGGGAUGGGAGAAAUUACUCUAUGUGUUCUUCUCAGUCUGUAGCAGCAGCUGGCACCUGGCAGAGCUUUCGGUACUCAUUUCCUAUGGUGAUCAGGAACUACCUGGAGCCUGGUUAUUCUGGGAUCAUCCUUUCAUUGUUUCUGUUCAUCACUGCAAAGUCCAGUCACUGAAACACACUGACAUGAAUUUCAGGUUCCCUUGCAGCUCUUUUUUUCCCCUGCAGACAUAUAUAUUCUGUUAAUGCCCGCGGGUGAAAUAGAUGGGAACAGUGAUGGCCAACACACUUGAGUGUGCUGCUCAAGGGAAAGGAGGUUCAGCUGCCCCUGCAGGCACACACCAUCCAGACAUUGAACUCUCUCAGUGCCUCAGUCCUCCAUCCACCAAAGGAGGCAGCAUCUUCACAGCAGUGGAAGUAAACCAGUAUUUGAAGCAGCCAACAUUGAUGAAGACGGAGGGUACAAGAAAGACCGGAGGAAAAUAUCCACAUCUUUAUUCAGAUCUGGUUUGAAAAGUCUGCAGUAGACAAUGCCUGAGGCUACAAACUGGAGAAAAAAGGAAAUAAAAUAAAAUAUUGACCAUCUGCUCAAUGAGUGCCUUACUUUUUCCUCUGCACUUUGCAGUGUAGGGGACCAAGGAAGAGAGGCUGUGUGAGACUGUGCCAGAACACAUUCAAGCAGCUGUCUCUUCUUUUCAGUCUCUAGUUUUUGCAACCUUAUAUUUCUGAAGCUGUUGAGGGUUUCCUGUGUGUCUGUAGUGCUGCUGUACUGGGACCUUCUUGAGGAUCAGGACUUUGUAUGCCCCUCACUCUGAUAGAGUAAAGAUGGCUCCUACUAUUGAGAACCAUUUCUGCAAAAUCAGAGAACAAAGACUUCUCCUGGGAAAUGAAAGUAUAGCAAAGCAAUUCUUGCCCUGGAGGACUUGUUUUUUCACCUGAGCAGGCUGAUGUUGGUAGUGAGGCAACAGUUUUGGGGGAGCAUCACUCACUCAACCCCAGAUACAUUAUUCCAUGGGUGAAGGAGCAGUAUUUUUCUGUCCUCACCCAAAGUUUUGUCCAUUUAACAACUAGCAACUUGAGGAAUUAGUCCAUGAAAAGCUUGUGGUUUUAGCAAAUUCUAUCUCUUUUCUGGCCAGAAAAAAAAAAGCCCCACUAAAUCCAUACUUACAGUGUAUAGACACGAACCUAAUCGGAACAUCAGAUUAAUUUCCUUACCCGUGGGCAAGCAAGCCCUAAAACACAUGCGGCCCAGCGUUUAUGCAAUAUUCAGUGAGCUGCACUGGUAGCUGCUACAUGUUUGUGCUCCAGGAGAGAUUUCAGCCUGUGUUGCUAACGCACGUUCUCUGACUCUGCUGUCAGCUAACAGCCGCAUCCUUUGCUGAGUCAUGUCUCAGUUCCAGCAAGUUACAUGGUCAGUGCUGGAAGGGGAAAGAAUGUGGGUAAAGGUGGGGUACUGACGGCUCUUUGUUCCUUUGAAGGCAGGAGGAGAAAGUGGACAUUUCUUAAUUCAGAGCUGUUGGAAAUUUGAUGUGUUUUCUCCCUUGGUGCAUGUCUGGCUGGAGCUCUAACACUCUAGGGCUGUGUCUCACAAGCCAGUAGAAGCCUCUGGGAAUGUAAACCAGAGCUGAAAACUCCGCUGCUGGGG
ensembl:lncRNA